ensembl:lncRNA
CUGGGAGUCAGUGGAGGACCUUCCCAAGCAUGUUCUAUGGCACCUGAGCCUUUGUACUUCGCCCUGCUGUUCCACUAACUGUGUGCCACACUCACUGAGAACGACGGAGGUCCACAGUGCCUAACACAAGAAGUGCCUGCAUUUGUAUCCUUCUCCAUGCUUUUCCAUGACAGAAGUGCAUCUUUUUUUCUGGGAGAGUUCAAGUGCGGGUCGAACAAUCGAUUCCUCCUCCUUUUCUUUUUUAAGUUUCCUGUCGUUCUUUUGCCCAGAUCAGCACUGAAGGAAAAUAGGAAGGGCAGCCUGGAGUGUGCACGUCUGUACAGCCAGAGACAGAACGCACGGCUGCGUCUGUGUGAGCACACGCAGGAUUUCAUACGUACACAAACACGUACACACACACACACACACACACACGUAUGUUUGGUCCUGCCUGUCUGUGUGCACCAAACACUGCGGCGUUCUUACAGGACACGUAUUUCAGAGACGGGAAUAAAGCUGGGAAGUGGGAAAAGUUUGGAAGCACUGCUCGGUUCCAAGCCGGACUAUUAACCCUUCCCAACAUUCUCCCCCAGGAACUGCAAAAGCUUUGAAGGAAAUGCUGUAAGAUCCCAGACAGUUCCUACAAUUUUCCACGUGGGGAGAAAGGAGGGUUAUUCUGCGAGCAGCAUUGUUCCAGCACCAUAAAUUCAGCUGAUUAUCCACAAUCCUUACGGCUGCGUUUAGUCUCAUAAAGGGAGGAGAAAUAAUUCUUCAAUGUGGGACACAUCUGGUAGCCAAAGAUGCAAAAGGCUGAGGGUGGAAAUGCAAAAUUAUAUUGGAAAAAACCCCCAACAAUAACGUAACCCCCCAAAACAAAACAGAAGUGCAAGUGAAGCUGACAAACACAAGCAGUGCAGCCUGCCUUUCGGUUGCGGCAGUUGCUAUUUAUUAUUUUGUCAUACUUCUUGAAUGUAUACUUUGAAUUUUUAGACCGGGGAAAAUAACAACAAAAACCCAGAAAACGAGAGAAAUUCCCAUCCUGCGUUUUCUGGCAGGAAAUCUGACAGGAUCGUCACAACUCAAAGGAAAGAAUGCGUGUAAACUGGGCUCUGAUUGGAAACACGGCAGGCAGGCAGAGCAGGCAGCGCAGCAGUUCGUUCUGUGCAACUUUGACAGAGGUUUCCAAGAGAGAUGCUCUGAUCUGACGAGCAUCCUCUGGGGCUGCGAGUUGGAACUUUGUGACGCUGGGAACCCAAAUGUGUGCGAGAUGGGCGCUAUUUUGCUGUGAUUCUGCAGAAGGAGCACGGAGACGCUGCCUGUCUGGAGUCCCAUAAAACAGAUCUUUUCCCUGUCAUUAAGAAUAUUGAUGUUCAUUAGGCCCGGGCGUCAAUGAGUCUUUGUGCAAAUGAAACGAAAUCUGAGUCAAAUUGUGACCCUGAGUCCAACACGGAACUGCUCAUCGGCUGCACUCAGGGGUGGGGGAUCAGAGGUUCCCCGGCACCAAAAAUCCACCUCCCCAACUAUGAGACAAAAACCUCCCUGCGGCCACAACCGCGGAGCCGAAGGAAACCUCGAGCCCCCCGCCCCAAACCACCCUGCUCACAACGUCCCUUCUGAUAAAGGUGCUACUUUUAGCAGCCUCUCAAGGUGAGAUCCCCCAUGGAAGACAGGGGCUGCCCCAGCUCCCGGCACAGCAUUCUGCAGGUAAAGCUCCUUCCUUUGAAUGUGCUGCGAGGGCCCUUCUCCCGCUGCCGUGAGUCUGAGGCUGAUGUUCCUGCUGUACAAACUCGGGGCUAAUAAAGCAAGCUCGAGCCUCGUAAUUCACAGCAAGGCGCUUUGACGGAGCACUUUCAGUGUUAACAGUGUGACGGGCGCUUUUUGGAGCUAAUGUCUCACUGAUAUUAACGGCCGUGCCCACGGAGCAAAAUCUGCAAUGUAAAAGCGAGUGGCUUGCUAAAUAUUUACAAGCUCGCACAUCUUGCUGUCCCAUUCAUUUCCUUGACCUUUCAUGCAGGGGGAUGGGGAUGGAGAAGGAGAUGCCGGGGAAUGGUCCCUCCAGAGGUACAAACGCGCUGCAGCCAAAUUGGCUCCCCGGCCUCAGAUAGCAAGACCUUGAGCCGUGGCUCCGCUCCGUUCUGCCAGCAGUUCAUCAAAUUAAAUCAAGAAAAGCUACCGCGGGCAGCGGGCAGGUUGGGGCCAGAACUUUCAGAAGAGGGAUGGAGGAAUGCCUCCUGAAAGGAGAACGGAGGUCUGUCUGCGCUGGGGCCGCUCAGAUCUCAGGGCGCGCUGAUUCGAGGCACAGCUGCUCCCAGAGGAAGGCAGCGUUCCCCAGGAAUCAGAGCCAGGAACGUAUCAAGGAGACUUCUCAGUUCUGCAUCCAGCUCUGCCGCUGACCUGCUGGCUGAUCUCAGACAAGUCGUUUCCCAUCUCCGCACCUCCGUUUCUCUGACAGUGUUUAAAAUAAAUUAAAAAAAAAA